rnacentral:rRNA from 1 species
GUCUACGGCCAUACCACCCUGAAUGCACUCGAUCUCAUCUGAUCUCGGAAGCUAAGCAGAGUCAGGCCUGGUUAGUAUUUGGAUGUGAGAAAGUAAACUUUUAUCAUCUGGCAGUCUGAGGGAAGGGAUAUC